GGGCCCGCACAAGCGGUGGAGCAUGUGGUUCAAUUCGACGCAACGCGAAGAACCUUACCUGGGCUCGAAGCGCAGUGGACCGGGGUGGAAACAUCCCUUUCCGCAAGGACCGCUGCGGAGGUGCUGCAUGGCUGUCGUCAGCUCGUGUCGUGAGAUGUUGGGUUAAGUCCCGCAACGAGCGCAACCCUUAUCGUCAGUUGCCAUCGGGUCAAGCCGGGCACUCUGGCGAAACCGCCUCGGAUAACGGGGAGGAAGGUGGGGAUGACGUCAAGUCCUCAUGGCCUUUAUGUCCAGGGCUACACACGUGCUACAAUGCGCGGUACAAAGCGUCGCAAACCCGCGAGGGGGAGCUAAUCGCAAAAAGCCGUGCUCAGUUCGGAUUGGAGUCUGCAACCCGACUCCAUGAAGCUGGAAUCGCUAGUAAUCGCAGAUCAGAACGCUGCGGUGAAUACGUUCCCGGGCCUU
rnacentral:rRNA from 1 species